GACGAACGCUGGCGGCGUGCUUAACACAUGCAAGUCGAACGGAAAGGCCCUGCUUUUGUGGGGUGCUCGAGUGGCGAACGGGUGAGUAACACGUGAGUAACCUGCCCUUGACUUUGGGAUAACUUCAGGAAACUGGGGCUAAUACCGGAUAGGAGCUCCUGCUGCAUGGUGGGCGUUGGAAAGUUUCGGCGGUUGGGGAUGGACUCGCGGCUUAUCAGCUUGUUGGUGGGGUAGUGGCUUACCAAGGGUUUGACGGGUAGCCGGCCUGAGAGGGUGACCGGCGACAUUGGGACUGAGAUACGGACCAGACUCCUACGGGAGGCAGCAGUGGAGAAUAUUGCACAAUGGGCGGAAGCCUGAUGCAGCAACGCCGCGUGCGGGAUGACGGCCUUCGGGUUGUAAACCGCUUUCGCCUGUGACGAAGAGUGAGUGACGGUAAUGGGUAAAAAAGCACCGGCUAACUACGUG
rnacentral:rRNA from 1 species